rfam:Myotis lucifugus cont2.28913, whole genome shotgun sequence.
AGGCCUGGAGAGAGAAGCAGGGUCUAAUCUGCAGCCUUGGUGGCAGCUGUUGAUCAGCUCUUGCUUCUCUUUCUCUCUGGG